rnacentral:rRNA from 1 species
CACGUAGGGCGCAAGCGUUGUCCGGAAUUAUUGGGCGUAAAGAGCUCGUAGGCGGUCUGUUGCGUCCGCUGUGAAAACCCGGGGCUUAACCCCUGGCUUGCAGUGGAUACGGACAGACUAGAGGUAGGUAGGGGAGAAUGGAAUUCCCGGUGUAGCGGUGAAAUGCGCAGAUAUCGGGAGGAACACCGGUGGCGAAGGCGGUUCUCUGGGCCGAAAUUGACGCUGAGGAGCGAAAGCGUGGGGAGCGAACAGG